UACGUAGGGACCAAGCGUUGUUCGGAUUUACUGGGCGUAAAGGGCGCGUAGGCGGUCGUGACAAGUCACUUGUGAAAUCUCCGGGCUUAACUCGGAACGGUCAAGUGAUACUGUCGGACUAGAGUACAGAAGGGGCAACUGGAAUUCUCGGUGUAGCGGUGAAAUGCGUAGAUAUCGAGAGGAACACCUGCGGCGAAGGCGGGUUGCUGGGCUGA
rnacentral:rRNA from 1 species